rnacentral:lncRNA from 1 species
UUUGCUUUAUCUUUAAAUGUUUGGGGACUCCAGUGACAAAUUUGCUUAAAUGUAAAAAAAUAUCUACACCAGCAGGCAAUCAUAGUCGACCCCAUUAACCCUAGUCUCGAUAAACCAAUAAGCGCAAUGCGCACACGCUGUACCCUAGCAAACCCCCUCAAAACCCUAGCCGCCUCCGUCUAUAUAAUCACCCCAUUCCACAGCUAUUUUCAUCGCUCAUUUUUCAUAUUUCUGCUUCUGCAUAAAAUUUUUAUCAAUGGCUGCUGCAGAUGUUGAGUUUAGAUGCUUUGUCGGUGGACUUGCAUGGUCCACNNNNN